GCGCUCGCCUUGGCCCAGGCACAAACGGGAGCUUUCCUUUCCUCCUGUUCAGAAGGCACCACUAAGGAGGUGUUUGGCCAUGGAAACCGGAAUGGCUUCGGACUCAGUAAGAAGGACUCACUGUUUGCAGGCUCAGUGUUAUUUCCCACAGCACACUGCUGCUUUUAAAUCACACACAAAGACCUGGGAAGGAAAGAGGAGGAGAGAGGGGUGAAUAACUGCAUUGGAUUUUCUAACUACAAAUUCUUUCUACUGUUCUUAGCCUAUUCUUUGUUGUAUUGCUUGUAUAUUGCUGCAACAGUCUUCAAGUAUUUCAUUAAGUAUUGGACAGUAAGUCAUGAAAUCCGGUUACUUUUUCAUCUCCUCUCAGUCUCGUGGGCUUUAGUGACUCUCGGUGCCUUGUUGCUCUCAGGCAGUGGAGGGGUUGCAUUUUCCUGGGAGGUGUUUCCUGGGCCCUUUGGGAGUCCACCUCCUGUUAGAUGUCUAAAAUGCACAGAGCAAGUAGCCUUCAGGAAUUUCAGACUGUAGAUUAUUUUCUGGCAGAGAGGUUCUAUCCCUUCCCUGUCCUUGUGUUUGAGUGGGUGUCCCUUGGAAAGUUUGGCAUUGAUGUGUAAGAUCCUGGCAAUGAUUUGUACAUAUUUACUGAAUAGAAAAAAU